UCUGCUUCUGCAUGCUGGGACAGAGCGAGAACUGCGGUCAUGGAGUGAGAAGGCUCCUAGAAGAGGUCCUGGACUGCUCACGUCCCCCUCUGACUAUACUGGAGAACAGCUGAGGUUCCUCUCGCUGAAGGGCUGAAUUCGGAUGAGAAAACCACUGUAACACUGGUUCCUGCUAUUCAGUGUGAAUAACCAAAGCCAGG